GUAGGGAAUUUUCCGCAAUGGGCGAAAGCCUGACGGAGCGAUGCCGCGUGAGGGAUGAAGGCCUUCGGGUUGUAAACCUCUGUUGUUGGGGACGAACGGCCUGGGGUCCAAUAGGCUCCAGGUUUGACGGUACUCGACGAGGAAGCCCCGGCUAAUUACGUGCCAGCAGCCGCGGUAACACGUAAGGGGCAAGCGUUGUCCGGAUUCACUGGGCGUAAAGGGCGCGUAGGCGGUUUCGUAAGUCAGGGGUGAAAUCUCUGGGCUCAACUCAGAAAUUGCCUUUGAAACUGCGAGGCUUGAGUGCUCCAAGGGAAGGUGGAAUUCCUGGUGUAGCGGUGAAAUGCGUAGAUAUCAGGGAGAACACCCGUGGCGAAGGCGGCCUUCUGGGGAGUAACUGACGCUGAGGCGCGAAAGCUAGGGGAGCAAACAGGAUUAGAUACCCGAGUAGUCC
rnacentral:rRNA from 1 species